rnacentral:rRNA from 1 species
UGGUCGGUGGACAGGUGGUGCAUGGUUGUCGUCAGCUCGUGUCGUGAGAUGUUGGGUUAAGUCCCGCAACGAGCGCAACCCUCGUCCUAUGUUGCCAGCGGGUCAUGCCGGGGACUCAUGGGAGAUUGCCGGGGUCAACUCGGAGGAAGGUGGGGAUGACGUCAAAUCAUCAUGCCCCUUAUGUCUUGGGCUUCACGCAUGCUACAAUGGCCGGUACAAAGGGCUGCGAUACCGCGAGGUGGAGCGAAUCCCAGAAAGCCGGUCUCAGUUCGGAUUGGGGUCUGCAACUCGACCCCAUGAAGUCGGAGUCGCUAGUAAUCGCAAAUCAGCAACGCUGCGGUGAAUACGUUCCCGGGCCUU